UACGUAGGGGGCAAGCGUUAUCCGGAAUCAAUUGGGCGUAAAGCGCGUGUAGGCGGUUCCGUAAGUCCGCUCUGAAAGCCCAGGGCUCAACCCUGGGAGGCGGGUGGAUACUACGGAACUGGAGUACGGAAGAGGAGGAUUGGAAUUCCUGGUGUAGCGGUGAAAUGCGCAGAUAUCAGGAGGAACACCAACAGCGAAGGCAGAUCUCUGGGACGUUACUGACGCUGAGACGCGAAAGCGUGGGGAGCAAACAGGAUUAGACUACCCGUGG
rnacentral:rRNA from 1 species